AACAUGUUUUUCAAAAUAAUUCCUUCAUGUGGAAGAGUGUUUGAUGGUUGGAGGGUGGUGGAGAACUAGGCAAAGAGGGUGGAAGAAGGUGGAGUGGCUGUUAUGUUUUCUAGGCACUAGAAUGGUGUUUUUGGGGUGUUUUGCUUCCUAGGGUGUGUAUAGACGAAUUUUUGUGAUAAAAUGAUGAAUAUGGGGGAUUGUCCUUUGGCCAAGGGGUGUAAACAUGUAUUUAUAGGCUCCCAAAAACCUUAGAAAAUCAGGUUAGGUUAAGGAUGAAAUGCAUGGCAAUUUGUGUGUGUGGUG
rnacentral:lncRNA from 1 species